CGGCAUGUGGUUAGCAUAACUCUGCUAUCAUAGUUAGCGUGAAUUCGCAGCGAAGUUAGUAAUGUCAAUUAGGGAAGGUAAAUUUUGAAAUUAUUUCAUUAUUUAGGGACAAAGUAAUCUAAUUGACUAUAGAUUUGGAUAUAAAAGGCGUUCAAAUUGUGGAAUCCCCUAAGAGAUCUAAAUAUAAGAGGUCAAUGAGGAGGAAUAUCAAAAAAAGGAAAAAGAUGGCUUGAAAGCUGGAAAAAGAUGUAUUAUGGUGGAGUAAAAAUGAAAUUAUAUUAUAAAAAAUGACAAAAUUGGCAAGAAAGAUUUUAGCAAUUCCUGUUCGCAACUUCAGAGCGAACUUUUUCAAAGACAGGAAGACUAUUAGAAGAAAUUGAUUGAAACCCGAAAAUGUUGAUGCUUUAAUAUUUUUAAAUUAUAAAUAUGAAGCUAAUUUAUA